GAUGAAUGGAUGGAUUGCGAUACUCGGAAUAUCGGCGCUGGUUCUGGUGGAAUUGGCUACCGGAAAAGGCGUCAUCAAUUACCAUACGCCGGCGAUUAUACUGAUUCAAGUGUAUUUUGUAGCGGCGGUUGCUGCUCUAUAUAUCAAAUACGAGAAGGAGAAGGUUAGCGUUUGGCCGCCGGAUGAAAUAAAAAAAUUAGAAUGAAGCUUUAAC
rnacentral:misc_RNA from 1 species